rnacentral:rRNA from 1 species
CCAGAGAAUUUAGCAGAGAUGCUUUAGUGCCUUCGGGAACUCUGAGACAGGUGCUGCAUGGCUGUCGUCAGCUCGUGUUGUGAAAUGUUGGGUUAAGUCCCGCAACGAGCCGCAACCCCUAUCCUUUGUUGCCAGCGAUUCGGUCGGGAACUCAAAGGAGACUGCCGGUGAUAAACCGGAGGAAGGUGGGGAUGACGUCAAGUCAUCAUGGCCCUUACGAGUAGGGCUACACACGUGCUACAAUGGCGCAUACAAAGAGAAGCGACCUCGCGAGAGCAAGCGGACCUCAUAAAGUGCGUCGUAGUCCGGAUUGGAGUCUGCAACUCGACUCCAUGAAGUCGGAAUCGCUAGUAAUCGUAGAUCAGAAUGCUACGGUGAAUACGUUCCCGGGCCUUGUACACACCGCCCGUCACACCAUGGGAGUGGGUUGCAAAAGAAGUAGAUAGCUUAACCUUCGGGAGGGCGUUUACCACUUUGUGAUUCAUGACUGGGGUGAAGUCGUAACAAGGUAGGCGUAGCGAG